rnacentral:rRNA from 1 species
GAUGAACGCUGGCGGCGUGCCUAAUACAUGCAAGUCGAGCGAACAGACGAGGAGCUUGCUCCUCUGACGUUAGCGGCGGACGGGUGAGUAACACGUGGAUAACCUACCUAUAAGACUGGGAUAACUUCGGGAAACCGGAGCUAAUACCGGAUAAUAUAUUGAACCGCAUGGUUCAAUAGUGAAAGACGGUUUUGCUGUCACUUAUAGAUGGAUCCGCGCCGCAUUAGCUAGUUGGUAAGGUAACGGCUUACCAAGGCAACGAUGCGUAGCCGACCUGAGAGGGUGAUCGGCCACACUGGAACUGAGAAACGGUCCAGACUCCUACGGGAGGCAGCAGUAGGGAAUCUACCGCAAUGGGCGAAAGCCUGACGGAGCAACGCCGCGUGAGUGAUGAAGGUCUUCGGAUCGUAAAACUCUGUUAUUAGGGAAGAACAAAUGUGUAAGUAACUAUGCACGUCUUGACGGUACCUAAUCAGAAAGCCACGGCUAACUACGUG